rnacentral:rRNA from 1 species
AGUAACGCGUGGGUAACCUGCCUUAUACAGGGGGAUAACAGUCAGAAAUGACUGCUAAUACCGCAUAAGCGCACAGAGCUGCAUGGCUCAGUGUGAAAAACUCCGGUGGUAUAAGAUGGACCCGCGUUGGAUUAGCUAGUUGGUGAGGUAACGGCCCACCAAGGCGACGAUCCAUAGCCGGCCUGAGAGGGUGAACGGCCACAUUGGGACUGAGACACGGCCCAG